rnacentral:misc_RNA from 1 species
AACACUGUUAACCUGCGGUACCUGCGGAAGGAUCAUUAUAGUAUAUGGAAUCUCCAUUCUAUAAACCCACUCUGCGUAUCUUGUAACUGUUGCUUCCAUGGGACUUGGUUCCGCCACACCGGCUUCACGGCUGGUGGGCGCCCAUGGAAGGAGAAACAAAACUCUUCUUUGAAAUGUAGUCAGUCUGAACAAGUUUUUAUAAACGUUAAAACUUUUAACAAUGGAUCUCAGAUCGGAAGA